CCAGACUCCUACGGGAGGCAGCAGUGGGGAAUAUUGCACAAUGGGGGAAACCCUGAUGCAGCGACGCCGCGUGGGUGAAGAAGUAUUUCGGUAUGUAAAGCUCUAUCAGCAGGGAAGAAAAUGACGGUACCUGACUAAGAGGCCCCGGCUAACUACGUGCCAGCAGCCGCGGUAAUACGUAGGGGGCAAGCGUUAUCCGGAUUUACUGGGUGUAAAGGGAGCGUAGACGGCAUGGCAAGUCAGAUGUGAAAGCCCGGGGCUCAACCCCGGGACUGCAUUUGAAACUGUCAGGCUGGAGUGCAGGAGAGGCAAGUGGAAUUCCUAGUGUAGCGGUGAAAUGCGUAGAUAUUAGGAGGAACACCAGUGGCGAAGGCGGCUUGCUGGACUGUAACUGACGUUGAGGCUCGAAAGCGUGGGGAGCAAACAGGAUUAGAUACCCCAGUAC
rnacentral:rRNA from 1 species